CCCUAGCCCAGAUGGAAGUGCAAAUCCUUUUGCACUUAGAACCUGAUUUUUUUUCAGGUUCUAAGUGUAAAAGAUUGCAACGCACAGCUGGAAAUAGC
rnacentral:sRNA from 1 species